rnacentral:rRNA from 1 species
GACGAACGCUGGCGGCGUGCUUAACACAUGCAAGUCGAACGGAAAGGCCCUGCUUUUGUGGGGUACUCGAGUGGCGAGCGGGUGAGUAACACGUGAGUAACCUGCCCUUGACUUUGGGAUAACUUCAGGAAACUGGGGCUAAUACCGGAUAGGAGCUCCUGCUGCAUGGUGGGGGUUGGAAAGUUUCGGCGGUUGGGGAUGGACUCGCGGCUUAUCAGCUUGUUGGUGGGGUAGUGGCUUACCAAGGCUUUGACGGGUAGCCGGCCUGAGAGGGUGACCGGCCACAUUGGGACUGAGAUACGGCCCAGACUCCUACGGGAGGCAGCAGUGGGGAAUAUUGCACAAUGGGCGGAAGCCUGAUGCAGCAACGCCGCGUGCGGGAUGACGGCCUUCGGGUUGUAAACCGCUUUCGCCUGUGACGAAGCGUGAGUGACGGUAAUGGGUAAAGAAGCACCGGCUAACUACGUG